GGGCUCUGCCCUGGGAUUCCCAGCUCCUUUCCAUCCUCCGCCUUUUGUUCGCUUCUGACAAUUGCUCUUUAUUUCUUACACACCCCCAGCCUCCCCCCCGCACCCCCCUCCCUGCCCGCACUUGGCACCGUUUAGCUGUCUGCCUGCAAACUUAACAACCCCGGUUCUUGGUAUAAGCACUCAAAUUACCCUUCUUUCUACAUAUAAACACGGCCCGGGGUGUGCGGCUCUCCCCGGCCGCGGGGUCCCCCCGGCCCAGCCCGGCUCCCCCGCACCGACCCCGGCCCGGGCCGGAGGAAGUUUCUGCUGCGGGACACGGCAGGAGAACACGAGCCGAACACAGAACCCCCGCUCUGCGUGGCUCCCCCGGGCUAGCGCUCAGCCAGACUUUAUUAGCGAGGGAAGAACAGAAUCUUCUUUCUCUCUCCGCCCGCGGCGGAUGCAGCACGCAGGAUCCCACUGCCUGCCAUUUGCAGAACACUUUUCACCCCAAAAAAUCUCAGGUUCGUGGCCUGAUCCUGCACAGCUCUCAUCAGCUGCGUUUCCUAGGUCUGGUGGAGACAGAGCAAUGCCAUCACGACGUGUCAGUGUCCACCGUGUCACUCUCAGGACACCUCAGAGCAGCUGCAGCAUCCCCUCCUCUGCCCUGCGGUGCCAGGGUCACCCGGCAGCACCGUCCCCUUCGGAUGAAUAUUUGGGCAGCUCUUGCCGCGGUUUCCUUGCGGGGUGGAUGAGAUGGGAACGGAGGGGAAGAAGGAAACCACGGGUAGCGUGAGGAGCGCCAGGUGGUGUUGACAGAAGAAGAUGGGUAGGAGAUUUCAAUGGCAGGCACACGUGUCCCAGGAGAGGGUGAGACACCAACAGAGAUGGAGCAAGAAAUGAGCCUUGGACAGCUGCAGGAGAGAAACCCAAACCUUCUUUGGAAAGCAGGGUCACCUGCAGGCUGGGGGCACCUUAUGAAACACCCAUCCCUCCAGACAUCUGGGAGCAUCAAGCAGCCACCAGGAGCUGGCACGGGUCCCAUCAGCACUGGGGAAGGUGCAGAGCAGAGAAAUGAGGGAGGGAGGUGCUGCUCAGGACCCACCACGCCGCUGGGAUGUGCCCACGGAUAGAAGGGGAAAUGUGGAAGGGACAACAGGGAACCAAGAGAACACAACAGCACCUAAAGGAAAGGGUGAAGACUGAACGUGUGAAACAAAGGUGGUUUGGGCUCAGAUGGGAGAGAAGAUCCAUACCUGGAAAAUCUCCUCCAGUGGGAGAUGAUUUCAGAGGAGUUGGAAUGUUUGACUGGCUCAGGAUUUGCCUGGGAGAGGUUAGGCUGGUGUUUCUAGCGUGACUGCAACCAAGCCAGCUCUGCUGGGGCUGGCUGCAGGGUUUAUUCAUGGUGGGGAAGGAAGGGACCAGCUGACUUUUAGAUGCCCAAAAGCAUAAAGAGAGGGUUUCAUGAUCAUGGACAAUGACCAUACUACUUCACCUCAGGGCUUUUCAGAUGUUAGCCAUGCCCCAAAAAAUUACAUGAUGAAGAAAGGGGGAAUAAACCCUAGUGCAAGCAAGGCAGCACAACCUCCUCCCCUGUCUUAGAGCUGCCCUUACUAGAGGCUCAACUGAUCCUAUUUUUGGGACCUGAGAGGUGAACUCCCAAUGCAGAGCAAACAUCCCUUUAUGGGGGUCUCUCUUUUCACCCUUAGAACAGAGACCCUCCCAUUUCCUUCUGCUGGGUGCAGCCUCCUGGUCCCACCAUCACAGCCUUUUGUCCCAAGCAAGAGCUUCCUUGGGGAAGGCAAUUUCAUGGCCAUGCACCUUCCCUGGUUGUCUUUGGGUCUGUGUCCCCUCUCCAGCACCCCUUUACCUAUUAAUAUCCUUUGACUGUCCUCACACCUGCAGACAAUCUGGUCCCCAACCACCUCCACCUCCCCCCUUCCUCAAAAGCUUCCCUCAGCUGUCUUUAAGUCGUAGCUGAAAUCUGUGGUAUGUAGGAGGAGAAAUUCAGUCUGACAGCAGUUUAAAACACCGCACUACUUGGCAGAUUUAAAUGCUAUUUUAAAUAUAAGCUAUGACACAACGGACAAAAAUAGCAUUGAAAAUACCCUGUCAUGUUCCAUAUUGCGAGGAAUAGGGAAGCAGACCAGGCUAGAAAGGAGCAGAGAGAGGGGCCAGAUGGAGAGGAGAGGUUAUUUUGUUUGUUUUAAAGAAACUGGAUAAAUGUAUUUUGUAUGUGACUGAGUAAAUGUGUUUUAUAGAGCAAUGAGCCAAAAAAAAAAAAAAAAUAAACCUUCUCAUGAAAAA